rnacentral:rRNA from 1 species
GACGAACGCUGGCGGCGUGCUUAACACAUGCAAGUCGAACGAAGCAUUUGCGACAGAUUUUUUCGGAAUGAAGUUGCUUAUGACUGAGUGGCGGACGGGUGAGUAACUCGUGGGUAACCUGCCUUGUACUGGGGGAUAGCAGCUGGAAACGGCUGGUAAUACCGCAUAAGCGCACAAUGUUGCAUGACAUGGUGUGAAAAACUCCGGUGGUAUAAGAUGGACCCGCGUCUGAUUAGCUAGUUGGUGAGAUAACAGCCCACCAAGGCGACGAUCAGUAGCCGACCUGAGAGGGUGACCGGCCACAUUGGGACUGAGACACGGCCCAGACUCCUACGGGAGGCAGCAGUGGGGAAUAUUGCACAAUGGAGGAAACUCUGAUGCAGCGACGCCGCGUGAGUGAAGAAGUAAUUCGUUAUGUAAAGCUCUAUCAGCAGGGAAGAUAGUGACGGUACCUGACUAAGAAGCUCCGGCUAAAUACGUG